AACCUAAGAGCCCACACAUUUGAAGUGAGAUCUAAAUUUGGUAGUAAUGCUUAAUGAAGGAAGAUUGGGUGAAUAUCAUCGGUGCUGUUUUCAUAUUGCAGUUUGACCUAAAGGAGAGCCCAGGAGCCCUUGAAAACCACUGCUCAGAGCAGGUUGAUUGAUUGGGAUGGUCUUAUUUUGGUACUUCAGACCUUGACCAGUCAGUUGAGAUCAGCACUAACUCAAUUCAUCGUGCAUCUUCAAAUCCCUGUCACAGAGUGUGCUUCAAGGAAAUUCAACCUACAACACUCAAUUACACAAGGGCAUCUUGGAGAUGAUCAGCUGCCUCAGGAUGAAGUUGAAAAUCUCCUUCCCAGUCACCAGCUGCCAGAAACUCAUUGAAGUGGAUGAUGAAUGCAAACUUCAUACCUUUAGUGAGAAAGGAUUGGCAUUUUAGUGGACUGGAUUAUCCACUCAUUUUCAAUUAAGUUUCCAUAUGGCAAAUUGAAGCUGACCCUAUUACAAUUAGAAAGCUAUGUGGAAGGAAGGAGGCCAUAAAUAAUAUUUCUAGUCCUUUAAAUUACUUGAUUGAGAUAACCUGGGAGAUCCAGACCAGAUGGUGACAGAGGAGGCUCCUGAAUUUUUUCUUCUCAUGGAUGCACUGAGUACAGCCACACGAAGCAAUUUCCUAUGAGAGAAAUCCAGAAAUGAGUUGAAUGACUCCUACACUCCUACCAGAUGACAAGCAAUAUCCACCUUAAAACAGCCAAACUGCCUCUUCACCUUACAUCAGGCUCAAGUUUUUACCCUCCAUGUAUUUUAGCCUUCAAGGAAUCUCUCCACCCAGUUUGUGAGAGAGUAAGACAGAGCUCUGGGAUUCCUCUGUUGGAUGUCACCUCUCCUACAUGGGACAAAGAUCACACUCUGCCUUGAAACUCAGUAAUCAAAAAGGUAGGCUCUGUUUGCUGGGUCCUUCAAAGCCUCUCGUGCUGUAAGGGAAUAGAGGGCUGUCUGCCUUACCUGGAUAUUGGUCCUAAAGGGAUGAUGUCUGGGAGCCAGGCAAAAUCUAUGGCUGUAGCUGUUGUAAUUUACAUAGUCCCAAAUCAAGGCAGGUGGAUUAUGUAUUCUCUUUGUUUUCACUCUGGAUUUAUAGGAAGGAAGUGUUAUUUUUCCCCUUGUCCAAAUAUCUUAAAUCAUUCAAAGGCAGCAUUAGACUUUAAGCAGAAAAAUGCAAAUGUAACUGGGACACUUACAAUGACCUAAAUGCAUGCUGAUUACCUUUUCUGUUAUUUUCUGCCCUUAAAUAAAGAAAAUAAAAUAAAUGUCAGCAGUAAGAAAAAUGAAAGUAGGUCAGACUACAGAACCAUUAGAUCAAAAGCAGUUAGAGCCAAACACACCUUUCCCAAGUGGGAAAGUGAGAAAUCAACAUGUAAAUGAAAAGCAUUUGAAGAGCUAUAGCAGUUCCUCUAUUAGCCUUGGCAAUUAGCAGGAGGGCAUUAAAUUAUUCUGGCGACUGCAUCUUGUAACUGGAACAAAGUGGAUGUGAUGGUACUGUUACUGAAAGAGAUGAAUCACUCCAAAACAGGACUUCCAUUGGGUGGGACUCAUAUUAUUUAGAAAAUGAGGAGAAGAAUGGACAAUGAAGGAUGUUCCUUGCUGAUAUCAUGGGAAGAACAUCUGAUUUUGCAUUAAGCAUGUGUGUGUGUGUGUGUAUGUGUGUGUGUGUGUGUGUGUGUGUGUGUGUGUGUGUGUAAAGAUCUGUGGGUUCUUUUUUUUUUAAGCCUAAUACUAAUACUACCUUGUGACAAUGCAUACGGUAUGACCACGGAUUCCUACUGAAGACAUGCUGAUGGUAUUCAUUCUUGUAAAUGAUUGUUACGCUAUUCCUUGUUGAAAAUUUGCUUUUAAUGUCUCAUUAUAUGGGGUCAAGUUGACAUACUCAUCCUUGCCCUACAAAGUUUAACAGAGUUGAUAUAGGUAUGAAGGAAAGAGAGGCAGCUAAAUAAAUAUGGAACAUGCCUGUUAAUGAAAAGUCACUCACAAAGAUGUUUAUGGAAUGAGAUAAGAUCUCGAGAGAAAGCCUCUGAAAGAAGGAAUGGGAGGACUUCUAUGAAUGUAAGUAAGCUCUAGGAAGGCUCUAAGAACCAUUGGAAGAUUUUGGAGAGUUAACAAUGAAUGAUAAUCCACUAUAUGUACUAACUCUUCCAAGAAUUUGAACCCAUUUCUAGUCCUGAUACAGAUAAUAUGUUUGUUCUAGUCCAUAUAAUAUGUUUGUUACCCCAAAUUGUCAAAAUUGCUGUGAAUGUAAUAUGAAUGUGAAUAAAAAUACCUUGAAUUUUUACCUGAAAAGCCAAAGGUAUUAAAUGAAGAAGACCCAAAAGAUUUUGAAUUUUAGAGAAAGGUGUAUCUCAAAUUUCAUUGUGCCUGAUCUGUGGGAGAAAUAAAGUCCUAUCUUUACUAGUAGUUGUUAGCCUUUGGAAUGUACCAUUUUCCACAUCAUUCAAGAAAAAUGGAGGAAACAU